rnacentral:rRNA from 1 species
GACGAACGCUGGCGGCGUGCUUAACACAUGCAAGUCGAACGAUGAUGCCGCUUCGGUGGUGGAUUAGUGGCGAACGGGUGAGUAACACGUGAGUAACCUGCCCUUCACUUCUGGAUAACUCUCGGAAACGGGGGCUAAUACAGGAUAUGACUGCUUGCCGCAUGGUGGGUGGUGGAAAGAUUUUUUGGUGGGGGAUGGGCUCGCGGCCUAUCAGCUUGUUGGUGAGGUGAUGGCUUACCAAGGCGACGACGGGUAGCCGGCCUGAGAGGGCGAUCGGCCACACUGGGACUGAGACACGGCCCAGACUCCUGCGGGAGGCAGCAGUGGGGAAUAUUGCACAAUGGGCGAAAGCCUGAUGCAGCGACGCCGCGUGAGGGAUGAAGGCCUUCGGGUUGUAAACCUCUUUCGUCAGGGAAGAAGCCUCUUUGGGGGUGACGGUACCUGGAGAAGAAGCACCGGCUAACUACGUG